rnacentral:rRNA from 1 species
UACGGAGGGAGCUAGCGUUGUUCGGAAUUACUGGGCGUAAAGCGCGCGUAGGCGGUUUGUCGCGUCUGCCGUGAAAGUCCGGGGCUCAACUCCGGAUCUGCGGUGGGUACGGGCAGACUAGAGUGAUGUAGGGGAGACUGGAAUUCCUGGUGUAGCGGUGAAAUGCGUAGAUAUCGAGAGGAACACCUGCGGCGAAGGCGGGUAGCUGGGCCGACACGUGACGCUGAGGCGCGAAAGCCAGGGGAGCGAACAGG